AGAGUUUGAUCCUGGCUCAGGAUGAACGCUAGCGACAGGCUUAACACAUGCAAGUCGAGGGGCAGCGGUGGUGAAGGCUUGCCUUUACCAGCCGGCGACCGGCGCACGGGUGAGUAACACGUAUGCAACCUGCCUGCCACAGCCGGAUAAUCGGGAGAAAUUCCGUCUAAUACGGCAUAAUGCAUCGACGGGACAUCCUGUUGGUGCCAAAGGUUGAUUCCGGUGGCGGAUGGGCAUGCGUCGCAUUAGUUAGUUGGCGGUGUAACGGACCACCAAGACGACGAUGCGUAGGGGUUCUGAGAGGAAGGUCCCCCACACUGGUACUGAGACACGGACCAGACUCCUACGGGAGGCAGCAGUGAGGAAUAUUGGUCAAUGGGCGGGAGCCUGAACCAGCCAAGUCGCGUGAGGGAUGACGGCCCUACGGGUUGUAAACCUCUUUUGCCGGGGAGCAAAGUGCCGCACGUGUGCGGUUUGGAGAGUACCCGGAGAAAAAGCAUCGGCUAACUCCGUGCCAGCAGCCGCGGUAAUACGGAGGAUGCGAGCGUUAUCCGGAUUUAUUGGGUUUAAAGGGUGCGUAGGCGGACGCUUAAGUCAGCGGUAAAAUUGCGGGGCUCAACCUCGUCGAGCCGUUGAAACUGGGUGCCUUGAGUGGGCGAGAAGUACGCGGAAUGCGUGGUGUAGCGGUGAAAUGCAUAGAUAUCACGCAGAACUCCGAUUGCGAAGGCAGCGUACCGGCGCCCAACUGACGCUGAAGCACGAAGGCGUGGGUAUCGAACAGGAUUAGAUACCCUGGUAGUCCACGCAGUAAACGAUGAAUGCUAGUUGUCCGGGGCGAUUGAGUUCUGGGUGACACAGCGAAAGCGUUAAGCAUUCCACCUGGGGAGUACGCCGGCAACGGUGAAACUCAAAGGAAUUGACGGGGGCCCGCACAAGCGGAGGAACAUGUGGUUUAAUUCGAUGAUACGCGAGGAACCUUACCCGGGCUCAAACGCAGGAGGGACGUUUUUGAAAGGAGGCAGCCGGCAAUGGUCUCCUGCGAGGUGCUGCAUGGUUGUCGUCAGCUCGUGCCGUGAGGUGUCGGCUUAAGUGCCAUAACGAGCGCAACCCCUACCUACAGUUGCCAUCGCGUGAUGGCGGGCACUCUGUGGGGACUGCCUGCGCAAGCAGUGAGGAAGGCGGGGAUGACGUCAAAUCAGCACGGCCCUUACGUCCGGGGCGACACACGUGUUACAAUGGCAGGUACAGCGGGAAGCCACCCGGCGACGGGGCGCGGAACCCGAAAACCUGUCUCAGUUCGGAUUGGAGUCUGCAACCCGACUCCAUGAAGCUGGAUUCGCUAGUAAUCGCGCAUCAGCCACGGCGCGGUGAAUACGUUCCCGGGCCUUGCACUCACCGCCCGUCA
rnacentral:rRNA from 1 species